UUGUUUAGACUAAAUCAUUGGUGGCUUAUUGCAAUAUCCACAUCAUUAACUUGUAUAUUUUUGAUUGCCAAAGUAUUUUUAUUUGAGUUCAGCCAUGCUGGUAAACCUGAGAACCCUCUGAGUUAUAUUCUUUUAUUAGCAUCAUUUAUCAUUACGUGGAUUGAGACAUGG